rnacentral:rRNA from 1 species
GAUGAACGCUGGCGGCGUGCCUAAUACAUGCAAGUCGAGCGAACAGACGAGGAGCUUGCUCCUCUGACGUUAGCGGCGGACGGGUGAGUAACACGUGGAUAACCUACCUAUAAGACUGGGAUAACUUCGGGAAACCGGAGCUAAUACCGGAUAAUAUAUUGAACCGCAUGGUUCAAUAGUGAAAGACGGUUUUGCUGUCACUUAUAGAUGGAUCCGCGCCGCAUUAGCUAGUUGGUAAGGUAACGGCUUACCAAGGCAACGAUGCGUAGCCGACCUGAGAGAGUGAUCGGCCACACUGGAACUGAGACGCGGUCCAGACUCCUACGAGAGGCAGCAGUAGGGAAUCUUCCGCAAUGGGCGAAAGCAUGACGGAGCAACGCCGCGUGAGUGAUGAAGGUCUUCGGAUCGUAAAACUCUGUUAUUAGGGAAGAACAAAUGUGUAAGUAACUAUGCACGUCUUGACGGUACCUAAUCAGAAAGCCACGGCUAACUACGUG